rnacentral:sRNA from 1 species
AAAGCCAAAAGAAGAAUGCCACAACUCCCUUGAAACAGUGGAAAGUUGGUGACAAGUGUUCUGCUGUUUGGUCAGAAGACGGCUGCAUUUACCCAGCUACUAUUACGUCCAUUGACUUUAAGAGAGAAACCUGUGUCGUGGUUUAUACUGGAUAUGGAAACAGAGAGGAGCAAAACUUAUCUGACCUACGUGGCUUCCUUUAAGCAUGCUCUAAAGAACGGUGACAUUUGUGAAACUCCAG